AGUGAACGCUGGCGGCAGGCCUAACACAUGCAAGUCGAACGGCAGCACGGCAGUAGCAAUACUGUGGGUGGCGAGUGGCGGACGGGUGAGGAAUACAUCGGGAUCUACCCUGUUGUGGGGGAUAACGUAGGGAAACUUACGCUAAUACCGCAUAAGAACUGAGGUUGAAAGCGGCGGACCGCAAGGCGUCGCGCGAUUGGAUGAACCGAUGUCCGAUUAGCUAGUUGGCGGGGUAAAGGCCCACCAAGGCGACGAUCGGUAGCUGGUCUGAGAGGACGACCAGCCACACUGGAACUGAGACACGGUCCAGACUCCUACGGGAGGCAGCAGUGGGGAAUAUUGCACAAUGGGCGAAAGCCUGAUGCAGCAACGCCGCGUGAGCGAUGAAGGCCUUCGGGUCGUAAAGCUCUGUCCUCAAGGAAGAUAAUGACGGUACUUGAGGAGGAAGCCCCGGCUAACUACGUGCCAGCAGCCGCGGUAA
rnacentral:rRNA from 1 species